AGGCGCCGCUACCCUGAGAUCCCCGAGUUCUGAGAAGCUUCGGCUAGUGAAGACACCCCAGAGGAUGAGACCCAACGUGGAGACAGAGAGAAGCUAUGGAGUGUGGAGACAUCAGAAAUUCUGGAAUUACUGACCUCGCGGAAGCUACUGGUUAGUCGUUGAAGCAACAGAACAAAGCAUGUAUGCGGAUAAUCCAGACCAGCCGUGGGGGAGAAAUCUGUCUACCCGUCCAAGAGCUUGAGAUUUUAAUAUUCUACAAACUAACUCUAUCAAAAGAUAUGAGGAACAGAGCUGUGAGGUAAUACGAUGUCUUGAGAACUUCCCUCCGUGUACCGGGCCAUCAUUUUGUAAACGGGCACAGUCGUACGUCAGACUUACAACACUGUACUGUUGACGAGGCUCUACUUCAGCCGCAGUAACUGAAACUCCAACAUGGAAUCGGAACCAUGGAUCCCUAUAUGUUGUGGUAUUUGAGUUGCUGAACGAAUACCAUAGUGGAGACAGUUCACACUCCUUCAUUUUGACUCAUGAAAAAACUCAUGAUUCUUCUUGAAUGGAACAAGCUUCUUUACUCAGACAAUGGAUCCUUCACAGCGAACGUAUUAGCAUAAUUUUCUUCAAAACCAUGUUUCAGAAGAAACAGUGAGUCUGGGGCCUGGAGCCUCAUCAAGGUUUCUGUGCACAGCUCUGGAAGGCUGUCAGGACUUUGUGAUGGUGACAGGGUAAACCGCCAUAAAUCCCCUCCAUAAACAAAGGAAAGCUACGGACUUAAAUCUGGUAGAACGAAAAAUGUCCACUGCAGGAAAUAUUAGUGUGCCUGUCUUUUCUGGCACAACAGACAUUCAUGCCCUUUCCCUGUGCUUUGGGAAUGAAAAGUGCACCAAGGGCUGUUAGUGGGAAAGCCUGGACCCCUAGGGCCAGAGACGAAGACUAGAGUCCCAGCCUGGCGCUCCUCAUGUCCUUCUCCAACAUCGACUCCAUUUGAUAAUUUAGCAAAGAGGUGAUGAUGGCAAGGUGUGCUGUCGAUCCGGUGAACAGACCGGUGCUCCAGAUUCUGCAAAGAUUUGCUUCACGUUUUCAUUUUCUUUGUCGAAGUGCGAUAACCAUGCUGCUCGUUUCCCCGGAAGCAAGAACCUGACACUUCACCCUUUGGGGUUCCGUGACACGCAGAGAGUCAACUGAGGAAACUCACUAUUGCGAAUGAUGGCUAUUUGGAAAAUCCUUCCCUCCAAAGGAAGAAAAUGGAUUUACAAUUUUUAGGUCUGUAUACAUAUGCAGAUGUACAUAUGCAUAUACGUAUCUGUAAUAAAAGAUGAGUAUAGGGGCGCCUGGGUGGCUCAG